rnacentral:rRNA from 1 species
CCCUUAGACGUUCUGGGCCGCACGCGCGCUACACUGACGGAGCCAGCGAGUAUAAACCUUGGCCGAGAGGUCUGGGAAAUCUUGUGAAACUCCGUCGUGCUGGGGAUAGAGCAUUGUAAUUAUUGCUCUUCAACGAGGAAUUCCUAGUAAGCGCAAGUCAUCAGCUUGCGUUGAUUACGUCCCUGCCCUUUGUACACACCGCCCGUCGCUACUACCGAUUGAAUGGCUUAGUGAGGCUUCCGGAUUGGUUUAGAGAAGGGGGCAACUCCAUCUUGGAACCGAGAAGCUAGUCAAACUUGGUCAUUUAGAGGAAGUAAAGGUCGUAACA